rnacentral:rRNA from 1 species
AUUGAACGCUGGCGGCAGGCCUAACACAUGCAAGUCGAGCGAGCGGCGGACGGGUGAGUAAUGUCUGGGAAACUGCCUGAUGGAGGGGGAUAACUACUGGAAACGGUAGAUAAUACCGCAUACCAUCAGAUGUGCCCAGAUGGGAUUAGCUAGUAGGUGGGGUAACGGCUCACCUAGGCGACGAUCCCUAGCUGGUCUGAGAGGAUGACCAGCCACACUGGAACUGAUACACUGUCCAGACUCGUGCGGGAGGCAGCAGUGGGGAUUAUUGCACAAUGGGCUCAGGCCUGAUGCAGCCAUGCCGCGUGUGUGAAGAAGGCCGUCGGGUUUUAAAGCACUUUCAUCGGGGAGGCGUUACCCGCAGAAGAAGCACCGGCUAACUCCGUGCCAGCAGCCGCGGUAAUAC